GACGAACGCUGGCGGCGUGCUUAACACAUGCAAGUCGAACGGUGAAGGGACCAGCUUGCUGGUUCUGGAUGAGUGGCGAACGGGUGAGUAACACGUGAGUAACCUGCCCCCUUCUUCUGGAUAACCGCAUGAAAGUGUGGCUAAUACGGGAUAUUCUGGGUCUGUCGCAUGGCGGGCCCGGGAAAGAUAUUGCUUCGGUGGGGGAUGGGCUCGCGGCCUAUCAGCUUGUUGGUGGGGUGAUGGCCUACCAAGGCGGUGACGGGUAGCCGGCCUGAGAGGGUGGACGGUCACACUGGGACUGAGACCCGGCCCAGACUCCUACGGGAGGCAGCAGUGGGGAAUAUUGCACAAUGGGCGCAAGCCUGAUGCAGCGACGCCGCGUGAGGGAUGGAGGCCUUCGGGUUGUAAACCUCUUUCGCCAGUGAAGCAGGCCUGCUCCUUGUGGGUGGGUUGACGGUAGCUGGAUAAGAAGCGCCGGCUAACUACGUG
rnacentral:rRNA from 1 species